UGUCAAUGGCGAAGAACGACGCGUCCUUUGGAUCAGUGGGUGAGUUCUUGAAGCGGUGCCAGCAAUCCGGCGAGUCUUCGACGAUCGACAUCUCCAGAGAUCAUAGCCAAACGGGCACAUGAGGCUCUACGAUGAUCUCCUUACCAACGGGUAAUACAUGACGCGGCUGUGGAUUGGGACAACACCUCAGAUUGUCGCUCUGACUGUGGAUACAAGGAGUACAGUCACUUAUGUGCCUUACUCUGACUGUGAACCGUGUGGUAACCAUCAGGUUCAGCUUCAUUUCCAUGCUUGACUUAGUCAUUAACUUAGUUACUUUUGUGAUCUGUUUAUUCCUGAUUGAUUUUCCAUCAAAUUCAACCUUCUCUGAUUUUAUUGCUAUUGCUUUGUUCUCAACAUCUGGAUCGCUGUAGGGGUUUUGCUUUUAGAUGCCUUUGUAUUGGUGUUUCCCUUUCUAGGCUUGAUUUGUGGUUCUGUACUCCUUGGUCCCCGACCUUGUAUCCAAGUUGUUCACCAAAUCUACAUAUACAUGAGUAUAUUCGAAUUAGAUCGAACCCCCAAUGACCUUUCAUAUAUUGCAAAAGGUUAUUUAGUUUGGUACAGUUAGAUACUUGUUUAUCAUCAAUCCAUCAUAUAGUUAUUCUCGAUUAAUCAUAUAGACAAUUUUAACAACAGACUUCACUCCUUUGAUUAAGUAGUUAAUGGAAAAUUUCAACAGUAGAUGACAAAAGUUUACAACACAACUAACAGCUAAUGAUCUUUUGUAAUUAUAUACUUAGAUUUUCUUGGUAAAACAUAGAACAACAGGAUAUAAGUUAUAACUCGAAAGAAAUCUAAAUUUUUAAUUACCUGCUUUGGUCAUGCCGAUACCGCUGUCAAUGAUAGAGAGGGUAUUGUUGGUCUUAUCAGGGACGAGCCUGAUGAAAAACUCCGGUUGAGCAUCAAGUGUUUUAUAUUUGACUAGCCGUUCAUAAUAGUUGGGGUUGAUUUAUGCAGGCGUAUGUAACUGAUGGAAGAAGUUUUUGACCAUCUUAAAUGCACAAAAGAUGGUUUGAGCUCUGAUGAAGUUAAAGAGCGGUUGAAUUUAUUUGGUUAUAAUAAUUAAGCUUGAAGAAAAGAAGGAAAGCAAACUUUUGAAGUUUUUGGGCUUUAUGUGGAAUCCUCUGUCCUGGUUCAUGGAAGCUGCAGCUAUCCUAGCCAUUGUUUUUAGCCAAGGAGGGGCAAAUCUACACUAUAACCCUUGCUCCUCUUUUUUUUUCCUUAUCUUUCCCCUCUCUUCCUGUAGAGUACAAAGUGUUGAAAACAAGAAGGCAAUGCUGCUGCUGCUCUUAUGGUUCAGUCGGCCCCAAAAGCGAAGGUCAUUCUCUUCAAACAUUACUUUUGGAUAAGCUAGUCCAGUGCAGGUUUUACGUGACAGAAAAUGGACAGAAAAAGAUGCGGCAAGAUUGGUUCCUGGAGACAUAAUUAGCAUCAAACUUGGUGAUAUCGUUCUAUCUGGUGCACGCCUUCUUGAAGGUGAUCCUUUAAAGAUUGAUCAGUCUGCUCUUACCGGAGAAUCGCUUCCUGUGACCAAAAAUCCUGGUGAUGUGGUUUACUGAGGAUCAACAUGCAAACAAGGAGAACUUGAAGGAGUUGUUAUUGCAACUGGUAUCCAUACUUUCUUUGGAAACUCAGCUGAUCUUGUGGAGAAAACGAUACAUGUUAGCCAUUUCUAGAAGCUUUUAACAUCAAUUGGAUACUUCUGCAUCUAUUCAAUGGUUGUUGGAAUGUUUAUUGGAAUACCAGUUGGAAUUCAGAGGAGGGAGAGUGGUCGUGCUGCUGUUGUUAUUGCAAACCUACUCGUCAUCCUAAUUGGUGGGAUCCCUAUUGCUAUGCCAACUGUUCUUUCCAUUAUGAUGACCAGUGGUUCACAUCGGUUGUCUCAGCCGGAACAUGAGCUAAUCUUGAGUCUCGAGUCAGGAUAAGGAGUAAAGAAUUGAAGAUAUCAGAUAAGCCUAAAAUUUUCUCUCCUACUUAAAAGAUAAUGUAAGAUUGUUAGGACUUUCAAAUUAAUUAUUAUUUUCUUCAUUUCAGGGAGUGUUGAACAUGAAAAGGGCGUCACAGCAUUCCAGUUUCAGAGCCAUAACCACUUUGCAAACGCAUCUGUCGCAAGUGGAAUCUGAAGACGCUGAACCAAAAAUUUUCUAAUUACAAUAGCUUGGAUCUCUGCAAAUAUAGAGCUCAUAUAACCAAGACAUUUGCGGAAUUUAGGCAAUGAUGGAUCUCUGCAAAUUUAGAGUUUUAGAAAUUUGUUUAGGGCUUAGGAUGCAAGUCAUUGGCCAAUUGUAAACUCCAGCUUACUGAAUCAAUUAGUUUUUUUGUAUU